rnacentral:rRNA from 1 species
CCUACGGGUGGCAGCAGUGGGGGAUAUUGGACAAUGGGGGAAACCCUGAUCCAGCGACGCCGCGUGAGUGAAGAAGUAUUUCGGUAUGUAAAGCUCUAUCAGCAGGGGAGAAAGAAAUGACGGUACCUGAGUAAGAAGCCCCGGCUAACUACGUGCCAGCAGCCGCGGGAAUACGUAGGGGGCAAGCGUUAUCCGGAAUUACUGGGUGUAAAGUGAGCGUAGACGGUAAUGCAAGUCUGGAGUGAAAGGCGGGGGCCCACCCCCCGGACUGCUCUGGAAACUGUGUAACUGGAGUGCAGGAGAGGCAGGCGGAAUUCGUAGUGUAGCGGUGAAAUGCGUAGAUAUUAGGAGGAACACCAGUGGCGAAGGCGGCCUGCUGGACUGUAACUGACGUUGAGGCUCGAAAGCGUGGGGAGCAAACAGGAUUAGAUACCCUUGUAGUC